UCAAGCUUUUAAGGGCAUAUGGUGGAUGCCUUGGUAGUUGGAGACGAUGAAGGGCGCGGUAAGCUGCGAUAAGCGUCGGAGAGGUGCACACAACCUUUGAACCGGCGGUUCCCGAAUGGGGAAACCCGUACGGAGUCAUGUCCGUCCAUCCCAGGAUGAAUCCAUAGUCCUGGGGGGUGAACCCGGAGAAGUGAAACAUCUCAGUACCCGGAGGAAAAGAAAGCAACUGCGAUUCCCCUAGUAGUGGCGAGCGAACGGGGAAUAGCCUAAACCGAUUCCGGUGUCAAGCCGGCAGGCGUUGCCGGAACGGUGUCGCGGGACCAAUUGCGUCAACUGCUGUGAGACGGAGGAGUCAGAAAAGUCUUUUCCUAGUCGAAGUUUUCUGGAAAGGAAGACCAGAGACGGUGAUAGUCCGGUAGGCAAAAGGAAAGGAUUCUCCUUAGAUUGAGUUCCCAAGUACCACGGGACACGAGAAAUCUUGUGGGAAUCUGGGACGACCACGUUCCAAGGCUAAAUACUACCAACUGACCGAUAGCGCACUAGUACCGUGAGGGAAAGGUGAAAAGAACCCCUGGCGGGGAGUGAAAUAGAACCUGAAACCGUAUGCCUACAAUCAGUGGGAGCAGCUUGUUGUCUUUCCUUCGGGUUUGACAACGGCUGUGACCGCGUGCCUUUUGUUUAAUGAGCCGGCGAGUGAAUGUAUGUAGCAAGGCUAAGUCUCUCUGAGAUGCAACCGUAGCGAAAGCGAGUCCUAAUCGGGCGUCCAGUUUCAUGCAUUCGACCCGAAACCCGGUGAUCUACCCAUGGCCAGGUUGAACUCUCAGUAACAUGAGAGGAAGGACCGAACCGGUGAGUCUUGCAAUACUCUCGGAUGAGCUGUGGGUCGGAGUGAAAGGCUAAUCAAACCGGGUGAUAGCUGGUUCUCCCCGAAAUGCUUUUAGGAACAGCCUCUGGCGUUCAGUUGCGGAGGUAGAGCACUGGACGGGCGCUCUCCCACAAUGUGAGGGAAAACCCGACCAAACUCCGAAUGCCGUAACCCUAGAGCCAGGGAGUGAGGCUACGAGCUAUGAGGUCCGUGGCCGAGAGGGGAAUAACCCAGACCAUCAGCUAAGGCCCCUAAGUGUAUGCUAAGUGGGAAAAGAAGUGAGACUACUCAGACAGCUGGGAUGUUGGCUUAGAAGCAGCAACCAUUCAAAGAGUGCGUAACAGCUCACCAGUCGAGCGGCCUUGCGCUGAAAAUAUACCGGGGCUCAAGCAUACCGCCGAAGCUAUGGAAUGAAACAGUUGUCAGUUUUCAGUUUUCGGCCUUGGUCGAUUGCUGACGGCUGGCAAUACAAGCUGUUUUAUUGGUAGGGGAGUGUUCUGUUAUAGAUUGAAGGUGUGCCGCGAGGCAUGCUCGACGAAGCAGAAGUGAUUAUGCCGGCAUAAGUAGCGAUAAAACAGGUGCAAAACCUGUUCGCCGAAAGUCCAAGGUUUUCUGGGGAAGGUUAAUCCGCCCAGAGUUAGUCGGGACCUAAGCCGAGGCCGAAAGGCGUAGGCGAUGGAAAUCCGGUCAACAUUCCGGAACCACUUUGGUACCGUUAUGAACUAUGGGGAGACGCAGAAGGAAUGGUCCAGCCCCGUGUUGGUUGGGGUCUAAGCCUUUGAGAUGGGUCGUAGGUAAAUCCGCGGCCGUAAUUCCCGAAGGCGAAUGGGACCCUGUCGUAAGGCAGGGGAACUGGGCCGGCCCGACUGCCGAGAAAAUCCUCUAUGCCAGGUGCCGAGGUGCCCGUACCGCAAACCGACACAGGUGGACGAGGUGAGUAUCCAAAGGCGCUCGGGUGAUGUUUCGUUAAGGAACUCGGCAAUAUCGCCCCGUAACUUCGGGAUAAGGGGCCCCGCCGUAAGGCGGGCGCAGAGAAAUGGCUCUGGCGACUGUUUAACAAAAACACAGGUCUCUGCUAAGCCGUAAGGCGACGUAUAGGGACUGACACCUGCCCGGUGCCGGAAGGUUAAGGAAGAGGCUCAGUCCGCUUCGGCGGGCGAAGGUUUCGACCGAAGCCCCGGUAAACGGCGGCCGUAACUCUAACGGUCCUAAGGUAGCGAAAUUCCUUGUCGGGUAAGUUCCGACCUGCACGAAUGGUGUAACGACUGGAGCACUGUCUUGACGAGAUGCCCGGCGAAAUUGAAGUGGCGGUGAAGAUGCCGCCUGCCCGCGAUUGGACAAAAAGACCCCGUGAACCUUUACUGUAGCUUGCCAUUGGAUUUUGGCAGUGCAUGUGUAGGAUAGGUGGGAGGCUUUGAAGCCGGGACGCCAGUCCCGGUGGAGCCAACGGUGAAAUACCACCCUUGUGCUGUUGGGAUUCUAACGCCAUGCCCUGAAACGGGCUGGCAGACAGUGGCAGGUGGGCAGUUUGACUGGGGCGGUUGCCUCCUAAAAUGUAACGGAGGCGUUCAAAGGUCAGUUCAGCACGGACGGUCACCGUGCGUUGAGUGUAAGGGCAUAAGCUGGCUUGACUGCGAGAGAGACAUCUCGAGCAGGGACGAAAGUCGGACCUAGUGAUCCUGUGGCUCCGCGUGGAAGGGCCAUAGCUCAUCGGACAAAAGGUACUCCGGGGAUAACAGGCUAAUUGUGCCCGAGAGUUCAUAUCGACGGCACAGUUUGGCACCUCGAUGUCGGCUCACCGCAUCCUGGGGCUGAAUAAGGUCCCAAGGGUUGGUCUGUUCGCCCAUUAAAGCGGUACGUGAGCUGGGUUCAGAACGUCGUGAGACAGUUCGGACUCUAUCCAUCGUGGGCGCAGGAGACUUGAGGGGAGCUGCCCUUAGUACGAGAGGACCAGGGUGGACGUACCUCUGAUUUACGAGUUGUCAUGCCAAUGGCACUGCUCGGUAGUCAAGUACGGAAGGGAUAACCGCUGAAGGCAUAUAAGCGGGAAGCCCACCCCAAGAUUAGGUCUCCCGUGUGCUUCUGCUUCGGUAGAAGCACCCUGAAGGCUCCUGGAAGACGACCAGGUUGAUAGGUCACAGGUGUAAGCACAGCAAUGUGUUCAGCCGAGUGAUACUAAUAAGCCGUGCGGCUUGA
rnacentral:rRNA from 1 species